UACGUAGGGGGCGAGCGUUGUCCGGAUUUAUUGGGCGUAAAGAGCUCGUAGGCGGUCUGUCGCGUCGGCUGUGAAAACUCGGGGCUCAACUCCGAGCUUGCAGUCGAUACGGGCAGGCUAGAGUUCGGCAGGGGAGACUGGAAUUCCUGGUGUAGCGGUGAAAUGCGCAGAUAUCAGGAGGAACACCGGUGGCGAAGGCGGGUCUCUGGGCCGAUACUGACGCUGAGGAGCGAAAGCGUGGGGAGCGAACAGG
rnacentral:rRNA from 1 species